AGCGAACGCUGGCGGCAUGCCUAACACAUGCAAGUCGCACGGGGGGGCUUCGGCCUCCCAGUGGCGGACGGGUGAGGAACGCGUAGGGACCUGUCGAGGGGUGGGGGAUAACCGCGGGAAACUGCGGCUAAUACCGCAUGACGCCGCGGCGUGACAGCCGGGGCCAAAGGCGAAAGCCGCCCGCCGAGGGGCCUGCGUCCGAUUAGCUGGUUGGCGGGGUAGCGGCCCACCAAGGCGUCGAUCGGUAGCUGGUCUGAGAGGGUGAUCAGCCACACCGGAACUGAGACACGGCCCGGACUCCUACGGGAGGCAGCAGUGGGGAAUAUUGGACAAUGGGCGCAAGCCUGAUCCAGCAAUGCCGCGUGGGUGAAGAAGGUCUUCGGAUUGUAAAGCCCUUUCGGCGGGGACGAUGGUGACGGUACCCGCAGAAGAAGCCCCGGCUAACUUCGUG
rnacentral:rRNA from 1 species